GGAUAACCUACCCUUAGGACUGGGAUAACCUUGGGAAACUGAGGAUAAUACCGGAUAGGCAAUUUUUCCUGUAAUGGUUUUUUGUUUAAAUGUUUUUUUCGCCUAAGGAUGGGUCUGCGGCCGAUUAGGUAGUUGGUUAGGUAAUGGCUUACCAAGCCGUUGAUCGGUACGGGUUGUGAGAGCAAGAGCCCGGAGAUGGAACCUGAGACAAGGUUCCAGGCCCUACGGGGUGCAGCAGGCGCGAAACCUCCGCAAUGUGAGAAAUCGCGACGGGGGGAUCCCAAGUGCCAUUCUUAACGGGAUGGCUUUUCAUUAGUGUAAAGAGCUUUUGGAAUAAGAGCUGGGCAAGACCGGUGCCAGCCGCCGCGGUAACACCGGCAGCUCUAGUGGUAACAAUUUUUAUUGGGCCUAAAGCGUCCGUAGCCGGUUUAAUAAGUCUCUGGUGAAAUCCUGUAGCUUAACUGUGGGAAUUGCUGGAGAUACUAUUAGACUUGAGACCGGGAGAGGUUAGAGGUACUCCCAGGGUAGAGGUGAAAUUCUGUAAUCCUGGGAGGACCGCCUGUUGCGAAGGCGUCUAACUGGAACGGUUCUGACGGUGAGGGACGAAAGUUAGGGGCGCGAACCGGAUUAGAUACCCGGGUAGUCCUAACUGUAAACGAUGCGGACUUGGUGUUGGGGUGGCUUUGAGCUGCUCCAGUGC
rnacentral:rRNA from 1 species